GCCAGGGCAGUGGCAAGCAGGAGAGAAGGCAACUGAGGAGGGGAGGCCUACCGGGCCCUGAACAGAGACUGAGUGCCACCCAGCGUCAUGAAGAGCCGGUGCUGCAGGUCCAGAGGUGUCUCUUUAAAGAAAGAUGCCGGCUUGUCAUAGACGGUCACAGCCCUGCAAUGAAAUCAUGGCGGGCUAUUGGGAGGGCUGAAGAAAGGCCUCAGGAAUAGAGGACUCAAAGGUUCCAGGGAAAGAAGGACGCUUGGGGAAUCCAAGUCUCAGACGAUGACAAGAAGAAGCCUUGCAAUCACUUGGGAAUGCACAGAGAGACAUCCUAGGACCAAAACUGCCUGGACCCCCUGGCUGGCUGGGAAGGAACCUCUGCCCCCUCCUCUCCCAGCUUCCUCAAAUUUUCCCAUAAUGUUGCCAAGCAUUAGUACAGCGUGGAGGCUACUUUCUGCUCAAACCACUCAUUUGGGUCCCGCACCCAAUGUCACCCAUCCUCAGUAAAACAACCUUUAUUUCCUUAUUCCUGGUUUCCAGAAAGUUCCCCAAAAGCCCUGAGGAACCACCGAAUGAAAGGGGCUUUUUACAAACAGGAAACUUAAGUGGAGUGCCAAUACGCAACAUGGAUUGCACCAGGCUAGGUCUAAGAUAAAACCAGACUGUGGACAACAGGACAGAUAAGACCCACAUGGCUCUGCACUGCCUGGGUUUGUUAUUCUGUGGAGGAAUGUCUUAGUCUGUUGCUCCUGUGGAUGUUGCUAAAGCACGAACCAGGAGUUUUCAUCCUUUUUUUUUUUUUUUUUUUUGAGACGGAGUCUCGCUCUGUCACCCAGGCUGGAGUCCAGUGGUGCGAUCUCCGCUCACUACAAGCCCCGCCUCCCGGGUUCAUGCCAUUCUCCUGCCUCAGCCUCUGGAGUAGCUGGGACUACAGGCGCCCACCACCACACCGGGCUAAUUUUUUGUAUUUUUAGUAGAGACGAGGUUUCACCGUGUUAGCCAGGAUGGUCUCGAUCUCCUGACCUCAUGAUCCGCCCGUCUUGGCCUCCCAAAGUGCUGGGAUUAUAGGCAUGAGCCACCGCUCCCGGCCAUCUUCAUCCUUAGAAAGCAGUUAGACAGACACCUGAGAACCAAUCCCAAACUGCAGCCUUCCACAGAACCUUCUGGAACCUUCUGGAAUGCAACUCAUUACUGCCAGAGGGUCUUUGAUGAGAGUCUACUCUCCACCAUUUGUCUUCAAAGAGAAUACCCACAUAUUCUCUUUCCAUGGAAAGAACCCAUGUGAUGCUUCCUACUUCAAGGCACACUAGUGCCUGUCAGCUUGAAGGCAUCCCCUGAGCUGCUGGCAAACAAGGCCUUUUUACCCACAGAUUAACCUCUUAUUUGUUUUAAUAAAUGAUCAAAAGUU